UACGGAGGGUGCAAGCGUUAUCCGGAUUCACUGGGUUUAAAGGGUGCGUAGGCGGGUGUGUAAGUCCGUGGUGAAAUCUCCGAGCUUAACUCGGAAACUGCCGUGGGUACUGCAUAUCUUGAAUGUUGUGGAGGUGAGCGGAAUAUGUCAUGUAGCGGUGAAAUGCUUAGAUAUGACAUAGAACACCAAUUGCGAAGGCAGCUCACUACGCAAAUAUUGACGCUGAGGCACGAAAGCGUGGGGAUCAAACAGG
rnacentral:rRNA from 1 species